rnacentral:rRNA from 1 species
UACAGAGGCCCCAAGCGUUACUGAGAAUCACUGGGUUUAAAGGGUGCGUAGGUGGUCCGUUAAGUCCGUUGUGAAAUCCCUGGGCUCAACCCAGGAACUGCUUCGGAUACUGGCGGACUUGAGGCGAGUAGGGGUCACUGGAACUGACGGUGGAGCGGUGAAAUGCGUAGAUAUCGUCAGGAACGCCGAUGGUGAAGACAGGUGACUGGGCUCGUUCUGACACUGAGGCACGAAAGCGUGGGGAUCAAACGGG